UUCGCCACCAUCGAUCGAUCCAUCGAGCCCCACCUCAAGAAAUGCUAAGGAGCUCGAUCGGAGGGUUCGCUCCGGUGAUCAUCAUCCAUUGGCGCUAAGCGUUGAGGGGAGGACCAUGAAAAGGCACUUCACUUUCAAUUCGAAGCUCAUCAUCAUUGUUCUCACCAUCAUUGCGGACGAUAUUAUGCAGUUCGCCAAUGCAAUCGCCGCCACUGACAUACUACGAGUUCAUAUGUUCACUCAAUUAUAUCCACGUGGGAAUGCAAGGCUAAGGUUACCGGAUCACAGUUGCCAUACUUCGAAGGGGGUUAUUGGCCGGGGCCGGUGGAGGUUUUCUUCAACAACGUCUUCAAGAAGAAGAUAAUAGAAAAUAACGAACCAAGUGAAAAAGAAUAAAGAUUAUUUCAAAAAGGACUAUCAAAGCUGUUGGUCAUACUGAUCUUUCUAGCAAUCUCUCCAAGGAUGCUUUGUUCAUGCGAAAACUCGGUGAGACCAUUUGUUCAAUGAAGGAAAAAUUCAUCUGUAACAACCUGCGGGACAUUACAUCAUCAUAGUUCAUCUGCGGACUGCAGCAUGCUUGCACCCAUCGCUUUUUUCUUAUGGUCUUGCGGACACGGUUGUGCAACCAAUGCAAAAGGUUCCUAUUUGAUCUGUAACAAGUUGAAGAAUUUCAAUUCGUAUCUUGGGGUUUAUUGCUUGAUUUGUCAUGAGCAUG